rnacentral:rRNA from 1 species
UACGAAGGGGGCUAGCGUUGUUCGGAAUUACUGGGCGUAAAGCGCGCGCAGGCGGUCUUCCAAGUCAGUGGUGAAAGCCCGGAGCUCAACUCCCGGAACUGCCAUUGAAACUGUUAGACUUGAGGACGAGAGAGGUGAGUGGAAUUCCCAGUGUAGAGGUGAAAUUCGUAGAUAUUGGGAAAGAACACCGGUGGCGAAGGCGGGCUCACUGGCUCGGUAUCUGACGCUCAGGCGCGACAGCGUGGGGAUCGAAACAGG